rnacentral:rRNA from 1 species
AACGAACGCUGGCGGCAGGCCUAACACAUGCAAGUCGAGCGAGGACUUCGGUCCUAGCGGCGGACGGGUGAGUAACGCGUGGGAACGUGCCCUUUGCUACGGAAUAGCCCCGGGAAACUGGGAGUAAUACCGUAUGUGCCCUUCGGGGGAAAGAUUUAUCGGCAAAGGAUCGGCCCGCGUUGGAUUAGGGAGUUGGUGGGGUAAUGGCCUACCAAGCCGACGAUCCAUAGCUGGUUUGAGAGGAUGAUCAGCCACACUGGGACUGAGACACGGCCCAGACUCCUACGGGAGGCAGCAGUGGGGAAUCUUAGACAAUGGGGGAAACCCUGAUCUAGCCAUGCCGCGUGAGCGAUGAAGGCCUUAGGGUUGUAAGGCUCUUUCAGUGGGGAAGAUAAUGACGGUACCCACAGAAGAAGCCCCGGCUAACUCCGUGCCAGCCGCCGCCGUAAUAC